UCUUUAACAAGAUAGUGGUUAGUGAAGCACUGGAACAAUGCUUCCUAGAGAGGUGUUCAAUGCCCCAAGCCUACCAGUGUUUAAGAGGCAUUUGGAAAAUGUGCUUAAUAACAUGCUUUA